rnacentral:rRNA from 1 species
UUUCGCAAUGCCCGAAAGGGUGACGAAGCGACGCCGCGUGGGUGAGGAAGGCCUUCGGGUUGUAAAGCCCUGUCAGGAGUUAAGAAAUGUAGAUACGCUAAUAUCGUAUCUAUUUGACAAAGGCUCCAAAGGAAGCCACGGCUAACUCUGUGCCAGCAGCCGCGGUAAUACAGAGGUGGCAAGCGUUGUUCGGAAUUAUUGGGCGUAAAGAGCACGUAGGUGGAUUUGUAAGUCAGACGUGAAAGCCUUCUGUUCAACGGAAGAAUUGCAUCUGAAACCGCAAACCUUGAGUAUAGGAGGGGAGAAUGGAACUUCUGGUGGAGCGGUGAAGUGCGUAGAUAUCAGAAGGAACGCCGGCGGCGAAAGCGAUUCUCUGGCCUAUCACUGACACUCAGUGUGCGAAAGCUAGGGGAGCAAACGGGAUUAGAUACCCCGGUAGUCCUAGCCGUAAACGAUGGGCACUAAGUAGAGGGGUUUU